rnacentral:rRNA from 1 species
UGGGGAAUAUUGGACAAUGGACCGAGAGUCUGAUCCAGCAAUUCUGUGUGCACGAUGAAGUUUUUCGGAAUGUAAAGUGCUUUCAGUUGGGAAGAAAAAAAUGACGGUACCAACAGAAGAAGUGACGGCUAAAUACGUGCCAGCAGCCGCGGUAAUACGUAUGUCACAAGUGUUAUCCGGAUUUAUUGGGCGUAAAGCGCGUCUAGGCGGCUAUGUAAGUCUGAUGUGAAAAUGCGGGGCUCAACUCCGUAUUGCGUUGGAAACUGUGUAGCUAGAGUAUCGGAGAGGUAAGCGGAACUACAAGUGUAGAGGUGAAAUUCGUAGAUAUUUGUAGGAAUGCCGAUGGGGAAGCCAGCUUACUGGACGAAUACUGACGCUAAAGCGCGAAAGCGUGGGUAGCAAACA